GCCAGCAGCCAUAUCACUCUGCAACUCACAACUGGCAACCCACUGAAGCUAAGCAGGUGUGAGCCUGGUCAGUACCUGGAUGGAGACCUCCUGGGAAAAACUUAGGCUGCUGCUGGAA
ensembl:rRNA 5S_rRNA 5S ribosomal RNA